rnacentral:rRNA from 1 species
UACGUAGGGUGCAAGCGUUGUCCGGAAUUUAUUGGGCGUAAAGAGCUCGUAGGCGGUCUGUCGCGUCUGCUGUGAAAACUCAGGGCUUAACCCUGGAGCUUGCAGUGGGUACGGGCAGACUAGAGUGCGGUAGGGGAGACUGGAAUUCCUGGUGUAGCGGUGAAAUGCGCAGAUAUCAGGAGGAACACCGGUGGCGAAGGCGGGUCUCUGGGCCGUAACUGACGCUGGAGGAGCGAAAGCAUGGGGAGCGAACAGG